rnacentral:rRNA from 1 species
GAUGAACGCUGGCGGCGUGCCUAAUACAUGCAAGUCGAGCGAACGGACGAGAAGCUUGCUUUUCUGAUGUUAGCGGCGGACGGGUGAGUAACACGUGGAUAACCUACCUAUAGACUGGGAUAACUUCGGGAAACCGGAGCUAAUACCGGAUAAUAUUUUGAACCGCAUGGUUCAAAAGUGAAAGACGGUCUUGCUGUCACUUAUAGAUGGAUCCGCGCUGCAUUAGCUAGUUGGUAAGGUAACGGCUUACCAAGGCAACGAUGCAUAGCCGACCUGAGAGGGUGAUCGGCCACACGGGAACUGAGGCACGGUCCAGACUCCUACGGUAGGCAGCAGUAGGGAAUCUUCCGCAAUGGGCGAAAGCCUGACGGAGCAACGCCGCGUGAGUGAUGAAGGUCUUCGGAUCGUAAAACUCUGUUAUUAGGGAAGAACAUAUGUGUAAGUAACUGUGCACAUCUUGACGGUACCUAAUCAGAAAGCCACGGCUAACUACGUG